rnacentral:rRNA from 1 species
AGCUAGAGUUUGAUCAUGGCUCAGAGCGAACGUUAGCGGCGGGCCUAACACAUGCAAGUCGAACGAGAAUGAGGGGGCAACUCCUCUAGUAAAGUGGCGGACGGGUGCGUAACACGUGGGUAAUCUACCUUCCGGCGGGGGACAACAGUCCGAAAGGAUUGCUAAUACCGCAUACGUCAGCGAGAUCUACGGAUCUUGUUGGGAAAGAUGGCCUCUCCUUGGAAGCUGUCACCGGAAGAUGAGCCCGCGGCCCAUCAGCUAGUUGGUGAGGUAACGGCUCACCAAGGCGAAGACGGGUAGCUGGUCUGAGAGGAUGAUCAGCCACACUGGGACUGCGACACGGCCCAGACUCCUACGGGAGGCAGCAGUGGGGAAUAUUGGGCAAUGGGCGAAAGCCUGACCCAGCCACGCCGCGUGAGUGAUGAAGGCCUUCGGGUCGUAAAGCUCUGUGGGGAGGGACGAAUAAGUCGGUAGUUAAUAACUGCCGGCCCUGACGGUACCUCCUUAGCAAGCACCGGCUAACCAUGUGCCAGCAGCCGCGGUACGCCC